AUGAAUGGCCAUCUGUGGCCUUCGACCCUUCAAAUCCGUGGAGGUAGAGUGUGUUUCGGCGCUUCGGCGCCGUCUUUAUGCUGUAGAGUCUGUGUCUGAAUCUAAAAUAUAGUCUA
rnacentral:misc_RNA from 1 species